AUUGAACGCUGGCGGCAGGCCUAACACAUGCAAGUCGAACGAGUGGCGGACGGGUGAGUAAUGUCUGGGAAACUGCCUGGUGGAGGGGGAUAACUAAUGGAAACGGUAGCUACUACCGCAUACCAUCAGCUUGACCGGUAUGGGAUUAGCUAGUUGGGGGGGUAAAGGCUCACCAAGGCGACGAUCCCUAGCUGGUGGGAGAGGAGGACCAGCCACACUGGAACUGAGACACGGUCCAGACUCCUACGGGAGGCAGCAGGGGGGAAUAUGGGACAAUGGGCGCAAGCCUGAUGCAGCCAUGCCGCGUGUAUGAAGAAGGCCUUCGGGUUGUAAAGUACUUUCAGCGGGGAGGCGUUACCCGCAGAAGAAGCACCGGCUAACUCCGUGCCAGCAGCCGCGGUAAUAC
rnacentral:rRNA from 1 species